rnacentral:lncRNA from 1 species
AAAGUCAGGUUUUUAGUUGGCAUGUAAUGUUUCCAACUGCCUAAUUAACAGAAACUUUAUUUUUGUAUUUUGGCAAUCCUUGGAAUUUUAUUUUGCAGAAUUUAAAAAAUGCAUUUAUGAUCUUCUGGAAAGGGUUUUGCCUCAAUUCCAGUUCCUGGCAUGACCUCUGCUGGAUCGUUAUUUCUCACCAGCCAAGUAGCAAAGGAACAUGACGUCUGAGACCUCCCUUUCUUCAUCAGUGGGGCUGACUGAGCUGGGGGUUUGAAACCAGGGGUGACCUUUUGUGUCUCAUGUUCUCUUUAGAGAAUGGCAAUGGUCUCUGCAAUGUCCUGGGUCCUGUACUUGUGGAUAAGUGCUUGUGCGAUGCUGCUCUGUCAUGGGUCGCUUCAGCAUACCUUCCAACAGCACCACCUGCACAGACCAGGUACUGCCUGUCAGUUAAUUGACACCAGCAUGCAAGUGGAGACUAUGACCACCCCCCAUGCAGCUAACAGGCUAACCAUUUCCAG